CAGCCUCGGGGGGCAGCAGUGGGGAAUAUUGGGCAAUGGACGCAAGUCUGACCCAGCAACGCCGCGUGAAGGAAGAAGGCUUUCGGGUUGUAAACUCCUUUUAAGGGGGAAGAGUAGAAGACGGUACCCCUUGAAUAAGCCACGGCUAACUACGUGUCAGCAGCCGCGGUAAUACGUAGGUGGCAAGCGUUGUCCGGAUUUACUGGGUGUAAAGGGCGUGCAGCCGGAGAGACAAGUCAGAUGUGAAAUCCGCGGGCUCAACCCGCGAACUGCAUUUGAAACUGUUUCCCUUGAGUAUCGGAGAG
rnacentral:rRNA from 1 species